rnacentral:lncRNA from 1 species
UGUGCGAGAGGGGGGGAGAGGCAGGGGAAAACUGCAGAGAGCGAGAAGAAAAGUGCGAUAGAAGCCCAGCCCCGGGGUAUGAAGAGAACGGCUCAUUCAAACCGUGUUUGGCACCGCUCUUCCUUAAGUGAUCGCUGCGAUCAAGCACGCUGUGGAUGUAGAGGGAGAGGCGGGGGGGGUUGGGGGGGGGAAAGAGGGGGAAAUCCCUUUUAGUUUUGCGAUUAGGCUGCCAGGCUUUGAAAAGGGCUUAAAAACAAAGUCAUGCUCAGCUUUUUGUGGUAGAAAUCCAGAUGUUACGUAGAUUUUUUUGUUUGCAUGUUCGUUUUGAGCGGACCAGGCGGUGAGCGCUGCGUUUACGUGUGCGUGUAGCUGGACUUUGCCGUAGAUCGACGUUGCGCUUGUGGAAUGUCUGCUGAAGUAUUAGCUCGGUAAUGCCUUCUAAUGGUAGUGCUAAUUACGGUGGGGUUAUUUAGCAAAUUAAGUGAGCUGAUGCAUCCCCCACCCUAGAGCACCAAAUGAACUUUUCCAAGCACACACUCACACACACACACACACAGAGACACGUUAAUUUUGGUGUUUGUCUCGCCCAAUCGCUUUGCCGGAGCUACCCCAGCCUUACCUCAGAGCAGUCAAUUACUAAAGCUGGCCGGGAUCAUCAAUCAUGGGGGAUGCUUGAAGUUUAGGGGAGGAGCGAUGGUCAAACUAUCGAUUGCUGCAGUUUUGUCCUUCCCAACCCCCCACCCUCGUUCACGGUCCCCUGCACAUAAAAUCUAAACCAGACUAUCCCGUUAAUAGUGGGAUUUAUCAAUGAUUAUGUACCCGGUUGUGAAUACAUAGCUGGCUUUUAAAAUACACGGCAGAAAAAUAUUAUUUAUUCAGUUAGGUUUUGGUUUAGUUUGCUUUGCUUUUCGUGGUGAUGACGAUGAUUGUAAGAUUUUUUUUUUUUUUUUCCUGAAACUUUAAGAAAAUGACCCAAGGGUUAGUUACAGAUAUUUGGCCUGCUUUUAAUAGGCGUAGGGAAUGAGCUCCAGAGGUCAAUAAACCCCUCCAAAAUGAUGAAUGAUUGAGUACCUGUGAUGAUGAUAGUGAUUACCGGAGCAAUUAAACAGUUUGAUUAAAUGAGCCAUCAUAACAAUGAUGUCUGCGGGAAAUCAGCCCUCACAUAUAAAGAAAGAUAGUGUGGAGCGCUGACAAACGCCAGUGGGCAUUCCUGCGUGUUCCGAUAGCGCCGAACCCUGCAGAGCAGAGCAGGGCUGUAUUUGCAAAUAUGGUGGCAAUACGGAGAAAAGUCCCUCUCCUACUUUUAGCCAGAGUUGCGCCCUGCUUAAAACCAGACAGAAGCUGGAGAGCAGACCCGGGUUUGGGGUUUCCUCCCCCCCCUUUUUUUUUUUCCUUUUUUUUUUUUCCAGAGGAUCUCCUCCAAGAUUAAAGCUAGUCCUAAGAGCAACUGAAUUGCUGUGACUGACUUUCAUGGGACUGUAAAGAGAGCUGCCUAUAAAACUCCAGAAGAGGAGCGCUCUCCUUUUUACACUGGAGUUCUCGGUCCGGAGAGAACAAUAUCCUCCUACCUCCUCUGAAAUGAUAAGGAGAACCUCACAACACACAGAUGAAACCCUUCGGGAGGAUUGAGGACCUGAGUGGGGAGACAGCCGAGCCCUAGCCCACCUGCGAGUGCGGAACCCUCACAGAAAGCCGCAACACACAAGCGGGGCUUCGUCCCCCUAGAAAGAAGGAGACAAAAGCAGCAAUAAACGUGUGUGUGAUCCUUUCUUAACGGGUUGAAGCCCAAAAGAAAAAGCAAAUUGGAUGCAGUAUUGGGCAUUUGAUGCCCGUCCGUCCCCGCCCCCCACUUUAUCAGGGUCUGAUUAUUCGCUUUAACUGUAAGCGCUGAUUUGUUAUUAGCUGGGUUCAGGCACCUCUCUAAUUUUCUCCGAGAGCCCAUUUGAAGGGUAGAAAAACUGAGGAAUAAAUAAAUGCAUUUACA